UACAGAGGUCCCGAGCGUUAGGCGGAAUCACUGGGCUUAAAGCGUGUGUAGGCGGAUUUGUAAGUACCUUGUGAAAUCCCACAGCUUAACUGUGGAACUGCUUGGUAUACUGCUUAUCUUGGGCCACUUAGGGGUUACCGGAACAAACGGUGGAGCGGUGAAAUGCAUAGAUAUCGUUUGGAACGCCAAUGGUGAAAACAGGUAACUGGGAGUGUGCCGACGCUGAGAUACGAAAGCCAGGGGAGCGAACGGG
rnacentral:rRNA from 1 species